CGCUUCGCGAAAGGACGAUACGGAAAGAAUUAGAAAUGGAUAGACUGACUUAUCCUUCCUCGCAAAAGUUCGCCACGCCUUGGAUGCGUUCUCGCGGAAAGCUCGUCGGCGGCGAGAGCGAUCGUCUCUCGCGAUCGAUAAAUCGACGCUGCAGCAGGAAAGAGUAGGAUGGCGUUGCAACGGGACACGAAGGAAGAGGAGGAGGAGGAAUAGCAGGAGGAGGAAUAGGAAUAGGAGGAGGAAGAGGAGGAGGACAGGAGGAAGAAGGUAAAACUCGUUCUUGCGAGAGCGACGGACUGCACUCUCGCAUCCUAUUAAAUGCUGCCAGCAGAGGCAGCAGCACCGGCAGCAGCAGCAGCAGCAGCAGCAGCAGCAGCAGCAGCAGCAGCAGAGCGUGCCGUUAUCGAUUUUGUAACGUCGUCGUACCCGAAGCAGUCUGUAGAGAGCUACAACAGGAAAAGAGCUGGUGGUGGGGUGAUUGGAGGAGAUGACGACGACAACAACGACGACGACGACGAUGAUGAUGACGAUGAUGAUACUAACAACGAUGACGAUAAUGACAACGAUGACAAGGAGGAAGUAUGUUGUAUUCACCGAGACUUCGAGAAUCAUUGAGAGGCAUUUUCAUCGAUCCCGUCCCGGAUGCGUUACGUUUCGUCGAGCAUUCAGUGAUCACUCUCUCACAAUCGUCGACUCGAAUGCAUUAGAGAAACCGAGAAAGGCAGAGAGAGAGAGAGAGAGAGAGAGAGAGGAGAAGGAGAAGGAGAGGGAGAGGGAGUCGCAACGAACCGUUCCAUGCGAUCCCCCACGUGUUUCUGAAUCGUCCUACUCGUCGAUUCGAUCGUGUGUUGACCGACUAGACGGUCUCGUUGGAAAAACAAGCUUUCGUACUCUUCAUAUACACGCGUGUAUGCGUGUAUGCAUAGAGAAGGGAGCUUGACUCAUCGUCCGUCCCUUCUCUCUCUCUCUCUCUAUCUCUCUCUUGCUAUACCUACGUGACGCUUCGUUUCUUUUCCUCCCUAACCCCCACCACUGCUCUCUCCCUUUCUCCUACCCUUUUACCCUUUCCUUCGUAUUCUCGAAGGAAGAAACACCUUCCUUCGUUUUCUACGCCGUAAGAUUGUAUUCAAUGUAAUAAAAGAAAUAAAUUAUUUGCCACA